AGGAUAAUGUUGCAUAAAUAGAU
rnacentral:snRNA from 1 species